UGGAGAGGAAGAUGUGAGUGGAAAGCUGAAGAUCCCUGACUUAAGAUCAGGGACAGACACCUCUACUGCCCUGACAUAGAGUGUUUUUCCAAAUGUAAAGCCCAUAUCCUUCUAACAAAACCAUGUGACCGCUCCCUGCAUCUAUGUGUGGCCCCACUGAAGCAAAAGUUUGGUUCUUCCUGCAGGCCAAGCUCCCGUCCUCUAAAAUCUCCAGAGCUCCAGGGACACGAGUUACCACUGCUGUCGUCUUCACACAGCCUAAAUCAGCCACUUCAAGCAAUCUACAGUCCUAUCACAGAGACCCUAGUGACAGAAGUAGGAGUUAAGUGCAAUAGCCACCUUGCAACAUUG